AUGAAACUGAGAAAGAAGAAAAAAUAGUAACAUGUAAGUAGUGCAUACAAUAUUAAGUUAUAGAUAAACUACAGAUGUUGAGGGUUACUGGAUACAAACAAGGAUGUUAGUUGAUUUAGAAGCAGAGGCUUCUAAAUCAACUAACACACGAGCGUAUAUCAAGUAACAUGAAACAGCUGUAUUUUAUCAGGUUUGUGCUACAGUGUGUGGGUGCAUGAAAGGCACAGUAAGGCACUGUCGUCUAACUACCAGAAUUGGCAGUUAGAUGAUGGCUUCUAACUACCCCUGCUGUGGUCUACACUAUAUAAACUCGUGUGGUGCCUUUGAUACACCCACACACUAGUAUAAUUUAAAAUUAAACUGAAAUAAGACUGACUGCUGAGUUACUUCUCAUAUAUAUAUAUAUAUGUAUAUACUACUAUGACACUGCGUAAUGAAGAAGCGAAUAGUGACAGAACAUGAAACAUUAAUGAUAUUAAAAAUAACCAAUCACUUAACAUUUGUUUUUUCUUUUCCCACUUUCAUAGUAUGGUGUAUACCCAAUGUGAUUAAUCAUUUUAUCAUUUGAGCUUUGUUUUAAAAUGACAUUUCAUGUACAAUUGACUUCUCAAUGUUUCUUACUUUUUGUGCCAUGGUACUGUUUAAAGCAGAAGGGACUGAUCUCACUAUGUUCUCAUCAUUUGUGAUUGGUUUUAAAUUGAUGUCAUGUACUUCACUUCUCACAAUUUUUUCUCAGUUUCGUAACAUAGUUUAAAUUACCGAAUGUGACUAAUCAGACCAAAUUCUAAUCAGUUUAGUAUAGUUUAUACCGGGAGAGACUGAUCUGACUCAGGUUGUUACUAUCUUUUAAAAACAUCAUAAGUGACUGAUAUGACUUAGUUCUUAUAUUAAUUAAGUUUCAAUGUGUAGUUUAAACCAGGACUGACUGAUCUGACUAAAUUUUUAUCAUGAAAGUGACUCCACUCUUGCUACAAUUUCAGUGUAUUGUAUGCCAGAAGUGACUAAUUGAAAUGAGUUUUUAUUGUCUGAGGUAGGUUUUAAAUUGGGAAUUUAUGUACUUUCGACUUCUAACAAUUUUUUCCUUCUUUUCUCAGUUUCAUGUUGUAGUUUAUUCCUGAACUGAGUUUUUAUGAAUUAAGGUUAAUUUAUUGAAAGGGACACGUUCACGGAAAUAGAAUGCACACGUUACUGUAGAGGAAGUUAACAUUAAAUUGGGUGUGCAACAGAUUAUUAAUUAAUAGUUAUGAGACAGAGCAAUCAGUCGCAGAACCAGGAUUAGGCAUCUGUAAAACACUUCUCUCAAACAGAAUUAGCUCUUUUGCCACCCCAAGAUACUCUUUUUAGUUAAGAAACACCAGGAAUAUUUACAAGAAGCCACUUGAGUAGCCAUUUUGCCUUAAUUAUUAGGGGCGCAGCUGCACGUUAUGAAGACAGUUCUUAUUUGUGGUGGGUUUCAAACUAAUGGGUCAUGUACUACUCCUCACUAUUUGUUUUCUUCUCAGUUU